UCUUGUGCUUGAUGGAUUCAUCAACCGCAGCCUGCUCACCGUGUGUUCCUUAUCAGUCAAUUGUAAUGAUAAUCCUGCAGCCACACUGAUUAGCGUGUUGUAGGAGCAACACCAACACAGUGAUAUCAGAUAAAAACCUUGUUACUUACGACACCUGAUCUCAAUAACCUGAUAAACCCACGUGCAAACUUGACACAACAUUGCCGUACGAAAAAUGGAGGAAUUUCUCAAAAGGACAAACUGCCAGGGACUCUCACGUGUUCUGAGUGUGGAUCUCGGCUUGCGCUGUAUUGAUGAAGGAAAUGUAGGUCUGCCUUGAAAGCUGCCUUUCAUUAGAGUCUCGGAGACGUGGUGUAAACAUUAGUCAGGAAGCUACGCUGAAAGGUGGAGGGCAGCGAGAGGUCACAUCGGAGAGAAGAGGGAGGUCAAGUGAGCCAAAGAGUCACGGACUCCCUCAAAGUCUUUCGUUCCACCUUAGAUAUGAUGCACAUUAUUAAUGUGUUUACCUUCAGGAUGAGAAGCCUGCAAAGAUUACAGAAGCUCAGCGCAUCAUCAAACAGAGCACAAAAAAACCCAAACAAACCAAAAAUCGAUAUUCUGCCUGACUUUGCAAAGCUCACAUCUCUUUUCCUCUGUUAUCACUUUAACAGGUGUAGCCACUAACAAAGGAUUUCUCUUCCACAGUCCAUGACUCGGAGCUCCGGGCCCAAACAGAUGACCAGCUCAGGCUUGUUUGCUGUAAUGAUGUCAGUAGUUAAAACCGUGUUUCCAUUACUUUGCAGGGUGUUGCAGAGUAAGUCUCGUUUUUUUUCCCCACUGCUGUCCAGGGCAAAGCUGGAGCACAGGCUGCAGCCACCAACACAACGAACACAGAUGCAGCUCGAAUGGCAAAAUGUGCGUGAACACAAUAUGAAUACUGUGUGUACCUGCCGGCCUCUCGACGCCAGAGCAGAGUGUCAACCCGAUUCCCCAGCAGACUCCAGCCGGAUGAAGCUCCUUCACUUAGCGUUGCCAGCUGCCCUGAGGCGAGUUUAACCUGAGAGGAGAGAUGCACCUGUACAACAGUAAGCUGGGAUUGCGGCGUCGAAGCUCACUAAAUCUCUGUCCACUCAACAGGUAUUAAACCCCAAGCAGCGAAGCGCCACACAGGGGGCUGCACACAUCUCCUCCUCCCUGCUGACGAGCCUUUGCUUUCCCAUCCUGCCUGCCAGUGCUGUCAGCGGUCGUGCAUAGAAAACUGCCGGUGCAGUCAGUCAGCUUGCAAAUUAUUGCCAGGGCGUUUGGUAUCAAGUGUUAAGGGAACGCGCUGUCAACACAGCAAGCCUCUCAACAUCUCAGUUUCCUCAGCACACAUCAGCUGAACGUGUUUUUCAAUCUCCUUCCUCUUUACUUGUAAACAUUGCGCAACAUGGAGCAACAUGGCUGACCCAGCCAUGGCGUGAUUGUGAAUAACCCAGCUAAAUGUAUCCACCAGAGAAUAAUGUAUACCCUGAGCGCUGAAUGGUUUUGAUUAUAUGAAACAAUCUGUUUCUCAUGUUGUAUGGUUCAUGGCAAAACCUUGCAAACAUCCUGCCAUAUAUCAAGCAACGCUCAGAAUCUGUUUGGCUGGUCACAGAUGUCCAAAUCGCUCUUUCAUCCUGUUUAUCUGGAAACGUAUCUCUGAUUUACUCCGGUGACUAAAUUAUAGGCACAUAUGUUUAUAUCCCACAAGCUGUGAUUGAUUAUUGUUAGGCCUUUCAUCCCUGAGGCAGUUUUAGGAAUACAGAAAUGUUGUGCUGUUGGACAAUGAAACAUGUUUGUCUCGUGUCUUUAAAAAAUCUAAACAUACAAACAUGUCAGUACAAACGUGCUUGAUUAAAAACACCUUAGAUGAGAGAAAAGGUCACACUGUCCAAUGUAAUAACAUAUAUUUCUCCUUUGUAUUAUUUGUGUCACCACUGUUUUCCCUCCUCCCUCUUUGCUGUGCACCUUUCAUCAGUAGGCAAACACUGUUUAGUCAUCAGGAUGCUGGUUGGUACGUAGUGAUUGAUGGUGUGUGGUAAUCACGAUGAAAGGAGGUCAAAGCCACAAGGGUCACAUUUUUCUCCUUCUGUCUGCGGCUCUUUAUCUCAACUCACCUCUCCGCCCUUAUGUACAUGCACACACACAUAUAUACGCUAAUUUACCUGUUUUUCUUGAGGUCUAUUACAGUUAUUUGCACAUUAACAAGGCAAGAAAUGUAAGUCUGUUUCUAUGAAGUCAUCUAUUGACAGUAAAUACAGCUUGUAGACACAACAGUGAGCAUGAAACUUCUUAAUGAUAUGGAGACAUUUUCUAGAUUAGAAAGAAGAUGCUGUGAGCCGUAAGAGGUGGACUUAAAGGAUGAAACAGAAAAGGAGAAGAUAAAACAGAGAUUUGAAAAUGUAGUUUGUUGCCAUAGAAAGCCAUGCAACGCAGCUUUAUUUUAUUUAAGAGUCCAGCAAUCACUACAAACACAUCUUUUUCCCACAUGUUAAACCCAAAACCUCAACAAAGUCGAAAUGGGAACAGAGCACAAUGCCCAUUCCCAUGUGCUUCACAUUUUUAUUAACUAUCGCUGCCCUCACUGCAGCUCGUUACAGCCCAUAUAGACGAGUGAGAAGGUCUGGAGAGGCAGCCAGCAACACUACCUCCCAUACAGCUUUCCUGAGGGGCAUUUCCCUCACCAGGGCGAAGGCUUUGUAAUCUGAGACCAGCAGGUACGUUUUGUGUGUGUGUGUGUGUGUGUGUGUGUGUGAGAGGGUGUGUACUGCAUAGCAACACUGAGGAAAAGGAGUGGAGGUUAAAACAAAGAAAGAAGGAGGAAAGAACUGGAAACAAACCUGGAUUUGGUAAAUGCUAGUGGAUAUGCAAACUUUGAAGUAAACUUUACUUUAACCACCAUUGUUUAGUAUUUGUAUACAGUAUACAAACACACUAAAAUGUAGCUUUAUGCAGACACGGGCAUAAGCAUAUUUUUACAAAUUUAUGAGUAAGUGAAUAGUGUCACUUGGAGAAGACAAAUCUGUCUGGCAGCUAUUUAAUGAUAUAUGAUCAGACUUUAUAUAAUACGUUGGCAUAUUUUACACAUAUUGCAAAUAAUUAAUUAUCUGUUCAUAAACUGGUUUCAGUUGCCUCACAAAACACUUCAAAUGUCCUUAUAGCUGCUUAUAACUACAUAGGCUACAACGUUUGAAAUAGUGUGAUAUAAUUAGUUAUUUGUUGUUAAUAUUCUGCAUAUGAAUGCCAAAUGGGGGUGGGUGUUAAAGUAAAUUGUUACCGAUAAAACAUUAUGGAUGGUGCAUAAAAUGGUUUUCAAAAUUUUCUCAUAAAGUGAUACAGUAAAGUUAGAUACUAGUAAUAUAUUAAUAUGAUAUAAAAUAUAUAAUAUUGUGUGAUAUACAUGUAUAUAACAUGCGUAUAAACAUG